GCAAGGGCGACCUUUCGCAAAAUAGCCAAGGAGCUGAAGCACCCGGAUCUCAGCGAGAAGGAGCGGGCGGCGCUGGUUGCGGAGCAGGAGUCGUGCGCCGCGGACUUGACAGCUGCCGAGAGAAAACUGGAGCGGCUGAGCAAGGACCUGGAGCAGCUGCGCACAAAGGAGGAGCUGAUGCGCAGGAAGGAAGAGCGGCUGCGCAAGGAGAAGGAGGAGCUGCGCACGGACCUGCGCAAGAAGGAGGAGAGGCUGCAACAGGACGGUGAGCGUUGCGGUCUUGCUUGAUGCUUCGGGAACCUAGGACUGAUUUUGCGUCCUUGUUGCUUUUGAGGCCUGAUGGGCGUUUUUGCCGAGCUCUAACGCUUAGAUUACGCUGCUGCUCCUUGUUGCCGUCGCAAUCUACCAAACCCAAAUCUCACUGGCUAUGCCCCCCGGCCACUCGCACGUUGUAGGCGCUGUGGCUAUCCUGAACGUGGGGAGCGCGGCAGGAGCCGGUGAGUUUGUGUUGCGAAAGCCCGGUUGCUAUUCAUGUGCAGCGUUCCUCGGUUGGGCUACGCGAAGACCGUGGCACAUUCGGGUGGCACCUGUAGGGACGUAACCCCGUUUAGCUCAACGUGUCCGAUUGACCGACCAACCGCCCCGCGCGGCCCAGAAGCUUUCUCGCGGUGCGGACACUCCUCGCGUGUCCGAAUGCCAACGCUCCAUCCAAUGUCUCCUUUUGCAGACGUGAAGAAGAAGCUGUCCCCAUAUGAGAUCAUGGACAAGGUCUACAAGGACGCCACGUACACGGCGCCCGUCCGUGUACGCGGCGACCUCAUGCCGGUGAGCAACCUGGCGGGUACAACGAUGGAGCGGAGGAGGUGGAGGCGGGGGAGAUGGGGGAGGGUUCGGCGGAGUGUGUUCAUAGGAGGGUGCGUGUGUGGGUGCACAGGAUGGGAUGGGUGGCUGGUCACGAAGGGUACAGGACACAAGUCUGUCGCCCGCUUCUCCAUACGCGAGGGAACCCGUUCUGGGUUUGGGCAGGGUGGGAAGGGGUGGCAAUGGCUCUACCGGCGCUGGAUUGGGCGGGCGGGCUCGUGCACGGACAUGCAUUGUGCGUGUGCAUUGGGGUCCUGGUCUAUGUCGACCUGCGCUGUGACUGACCUUUGCAUCCACGGGUCUACUCCCGACAUCCUGCCCUCCUGGCACAUGCCCCAGCAGGUCACGCUGGAGGAAAAGAAGAAAAGCUGACUAGCAGUGGCCGGCGAGGCGGGCAUCGCGGCCCUCCGUCUCUGCGGCCCGGUGCUGGUCCUGCGUGCGGGGCAUCGGCGGCUGGUACACGCCGCCUGUGCUCCUCAUCAUCGGGCUUGUCCUGGCGGCAAUGUGGGCCAUUGGGCUGUGUGUGUUCAUGGCGGCGGUGCUGUCAGAGAUCCGGGUGUGCUACCGCGCCACCAUGUUCUGCGGAUUGGUUAUCCUAGCGAACAUAUGUGUGCUGAUGUAUUUCGACUGGAACGAUUUGCCUUUCCGGGAGGCUGCGCGGCGGGUGCUGGACGCUGCCAGCUUUACUUAUACUUUGUUGAAGAACGAGGUGCGCGACGUGGCAAAGGACAUCGGCUUUGACAUGUUCGCUUUCGAGUUCAGCCAGCAAUGCUUUAAGCUAGCGUUCAAGUUGGUGUACAAGCGCGUGCGCCAGGGCUGGGACUGGAUAAGGGGCCGCCGCCUGUGAGUAGCACGGACUGCUGCAGGCUGAGACCGGUUAGGAGAGGAAGUGGAGGGCGCCGCGCCGCCGCAAAGGCGGGGCAGACUUGAAGCAGGGCCGGGCGUUUGGAUGUUUGUUGGAGGAGGAUGGCCCGGAGACAGAUUGUGUGGGACAGGGGCACUUGCGGCUGUCAAGGUUGUCAGGCCCGAGUGCCAUCAGUUGUUGUCGUUUUUGUCGUGCUUUUGCAAGUUAGUGUACAAGCAGGUGCGCCAGGGCUGGGACUGGAUAACGGGCCGCCGCCUAUGAGUAGGACGGACUGCUUCAGGGUGAGACCGGUUAGGAGGGAUGAGAAGGGCGCCACGCCGCUGCAAAGGCAUGCAGCGCCACGCCCGCCUCCAUGACUACCGGUAGUGCGAGUGGGGGCUGAUGCAGGACACCACUGCUGUAAGCAUCUUGGGUUGCGCCUAUUGCAGCAUUCCCCUGUGGUACCGGUUUACUGGUCAGCCGAACCGGGUCUGAUAGCCACAGCGAGGUAGCAGGGAUGUAAGUGCGUGGCAGCCCUGAGCAGGUAUGAGGCACGGAACAGAUGUGAGGCAUUCAGGGAUAAUGUUGAUCACGUCUGCCUGGACCAAUGGCCACGGCUUCCAUUUGGCACUUUGGCUGCACUUGCUCGAGCAGGUCGAGGUAAAUACGGCGGGUCGGCAGCCUGCCCCAGGGAGGGCGGGAGGCGUGAGGGAUGCCAGGCCUGGCCAGGCACAAAGCGCCCAGGCACUGUUACCCGGGUCUUGAAAGGCUGAGCUGCUGAGGGGCAGACCGGGGCACACCGUUUGUUACAAGGCCUCGCAAAGAGCCAGAGACACUGAGACAGGAGUCAGUGCCAGAGUUCCGUUGAGGACUGUUGCGGCCGACACAUUGAAGCUUAGACCCGUCGGGCAUCUAAGCUUUGAACCGUCGCAGCCCGACCGGGGUUACUGCGGAAGUGGGGCGCCACCACCAAAUUCUUCAUAACCUCGAGGAAACACACAACCGCGGUAACCACAAGCUCACUUACUGUUGCAUCUGCGCACUACCGUAUUUCCUGUUGUAACCCCUGAAGCGUAUUGGGCGUGAUCGCGUAGUCAUGUCGUGAGCUGGCGUGUGACCGUGCAUAUCGUGUGACUGAGUGAUUUGGGUGUGGUUUUGGCGUGUGGGAAUAGGGGAACGUGCCCGAGGACUGGUUGGCCCGACACGGUGUAUUGCAUGGGAGGCCGGAGUACGGGUGAUCAGGGAGAGGAUCGCGUCUGAGAGCGGCUGGAGGCGUCUCUCAUUCCGAUCCUAGGCGAGCUAGUCGCCGUCAGGCACACGAAACGUUCAUUGUCCCAGGGGGGGGGUAGUUUCGACUGGGAAAGGCCCCAUGUUCUAAAACGAAAGAGCUUGACGAGAGGACUCCAAAUCCACUUUCAGAGUUUCAAUCAGGGUAGUAAUUGCAAAGUUAUGGGCCCUCAAAGUUCAGGGUCGGUCGUCGGGCCUGGGGGUCCCCAAGGUUUCGUCACGCAGAUGUGGGUGGGACUGCCAGGUUUCGUCUCUGCGCCCUAAACGCCCCUCUAAACGCUCCGCCCAUUAGCGCAAGCACUAGCACACAUUAGCAUGCACAUACUAAAGCAUUUGCAGAACGUUUGGCCUCUGGAAAGCGGCCGCAGGUCCGUCCACAUCGGCAUCGUAGUAGCGUAGAGCCCCACUCGAGCGUCUCUCACUGGUGUCAUGGAGACUAUGCGAACUGAUGCUAACGUGUAACGGCCAAGGCUUCGUGUGGGUCAUGGCGACAAGGCUGCCGCCGGCCAUCGAGCGUGACAAGAAUCCCGGGAUUCUUCACAUGAUCCCGGUAGAAAGUCGACCAAUCUCUUCCGGCACACAAUCCCAAACACCAUAUGUACAGCGCACUUGUAAGCUUAAGCGCACGCCCCGGUAGUCUGACAGAAGGGUCGGUGGUCGCCCAGGGACACAUGGACAUGUGUGGCAUGGCUGCCAGUCAAGUUGUGCCUCCAGCUGAACCGGAGGUAUACAAUUGUAGAGCUCGCCGAGAGCAGUCGAUUGACACCAAACUGGCUUAAAACCAAAGGGUUUUGAGGGGGUUUUGAGGGGUUGCACGGUGGUGGGGGUCGGUCGGUCGGUCCGGAGGGGGGGUCGGGAGGUUUUGGGACAUGGGGUCUGGAGGUUUAGUUCGUACCCCCCCCCCUGAUUGUCCUAUCAUAGGGCGCGACAGUCAACUGCCAGCGAAGUCCAACAGUGCACAUCACGCGUGUCACGGCACGUACCCGCCAAGCCAUCCUCUUCACACUCCAUCUCCAAUACCGUACUGCUAAAAAUUAUUCGUGCCUUGAAUUUUUGGGAGGGGGGUAAAUAAAUAGCUGGAAUUAGGCCGAAUUUAUUAAUUUUCGGGACGGGACCGGGACCUGCAAGCGGUUGUGACACAAAUUUUCGGGGACAACGGGGCUCCGGCGGGAAAGGCCCUGCAGUCUCCCCUAUACCACCACGUGUAACCAUGCACACCUACGAACACGCAGAACCCUCCCUAACGUACUGAGCCAUGCACUCUCUUCGUGUUCCUCUCUCUUCGUGUUCCUCAUUUGCCGUGCCUCAACCCCACCCGUACCGUACUUAAAAGCACACCUGCUUACCGGUAUCCUCCGGUGUCCUUACCACAUGCUUACGCAAGCGUUGCACCGGACCGAACCGCCUUAACCAGCUGCAGGAUUGGCUUCUCGAACUCGCUAUCAUACCCGCUGUCGUCUGCAUCGCUCUCCCCCCCACUGCUCUCCCCACCGCUCUCCUGCCCGCUGAUCUCCUCACUGCUCUCCUCUCCUCCACUCUCCUCCCCGCCACUAUCCUCCCCACUACUCCCCUCCUCACUGCUUUCCUCCUUACUGCUCUUCUCCUCUUCACUCUCCUCCCCGCCACUCUCCUCCCCGCCACUCUCCUCCCCGCCACCCUCCUCCCCGCCACUCUCCUCCCCGCCACUCUCCUCCCCGCCACUCUCCUCCGUGCCACUCUCCUCCCCACCGCUUUCCUCCCCGCCGCCACUUUCACUGCCAGUCGGCAACUCCUCCUCCUCCACUUCCUCACGCGACCGCUUCCUUCCAGCAGCACGGCCACGCCCCCUGCCCGCGCCCCGUCCACGCCGCCCGCCCUGGCCACGGCCCUCUGGUUGAGCAUUGCCACGGCCGCGGCCACCGCCACGGCCACGGCCGCGGCCACGCCCGCGGCCGCGGCCGCGGCCCCGCCCACGUUCAGCAGGCGCCCCGGCAACGUCAGUGCCAGCGGCACCAGCUGAUGAGGGGUCAGCGGCGCCAGCAGCCGUGGCAGGCUUGCGACUGCGCAUGCGCUCCAGCACCUCUGGUGCCAGCGCAUCGAAGUCCUGCUGCUUCGCCCAGACCAGCUUCUCCAGGCGCUCCAGCAUGCUGUCGUCCUCAUCAUCAUCAAUGACGUACUUGGUCGGCGUGGGCUGGCCGGGCCCCGCAGCCCCUGCGAUUGCUGUAUCCACUACGGAUGCAGCAGGUGAACCGCCCGCUGCAGCAGCGGCGCCUGCCGCGCCCUCGCCCGCUGCAGCAGCGGCGCCUGCUGCGCCCUCACUAUAACGACGGGUCCAUGCGUUAGAGCAUGCGUUAGCAUGCGUGCCGCAUGGCCCAAACGCAUGCUUAACGCGUGAAAAGCAUGUGCUGUACGCAUGCGGUGCCCGCCCAUACGCAUGCGUGCGCUACCAGAGCGUGCGUUACCUAACGCAUGCUGGUGUUGGCUAGCGGCCGCAGCGACUCUUUCUGGAUGUACGCAUGCGUCCCGAACGCAUGCCAUACGCAUGCUUGAAGCACAUAUGCCGGUUGCGUGAAGUACUACGCAUGCCAUGGCGCAUGCGGGACGCAUGUGCGUUACCUAACGCAAGCAGCUGCCCCCAACUGCACGCUUCCCACCCGCAUGCAUGCACGCACACGUGGGGCACACGAAGCCAAUUCCCUCAACUGCUCAUUUGUGUUACAGUUCAUGCAACGGCACGUGCCGCGCGUCCAGUGUAAACGAGGAUUCGGCCUGUUUCUCUGAAGGCGUGAGUCCGCCUCCAUCCACCAGCCUCUCCUUAGGCUUUUAGUCCGCCAUCGCACACCCUGGAAAGGAAGUCUGCCCGCUCCACAUGCCCUGUCACCCAUCGACCUCCUCGCUCACCGAACGUGCCCUACCGUAACAUGAAUACAGAUGCGUAUGUAGCCGCUUCCGGGUAACAACCAAAUGCCACCCGCCAAGGCAUAAGCGGCAGAGGUGUGCCCAUACUAAAGUCUUGCCAAACACACAACGACAACCACAACGUCCGACCUACCUGCUGCACAGUGCUACCGCAGACUCUGCAUGCUGCCGGUGCCGGCACUCCAGUCCGUAGCUAGCCACAGAUGUGCAUGUAGCCACUUCCGCGGAACAACCAAACGCCACCCGCCAAGGCAUAAGCGGCAGAGGUGUGCCCAUACUAAGUCUUGCCAAACACACAACGACCUCAACCACAACGUCCGACCUGCUGCACAGUGCCACCGCAGACUCCGCAUGCUGCCGGUGCCAGCGCUCCAGUCCACAGCUAGCCACACCCGUGCUGCCCUUCGUAAGCCUGCAUAGUGUUCAGGACGAUUCGGUCAGGAACCAAACCCCAAAACCAGGCAUAUCAGAGGGUAAGACGCAAGGUACCUUUCCCCCCAUGUUCAGCUGCAGACACGCUACUCAUGCAGUGCUUACUUCAGCAAUUGCGAAAUAAGAUCUGGACAUAGACUUGCCUGUUGGGGUUAACGUGUGAGUGCGCCACGUCUAGCCCACCCAGGGGUGGUCCGCACGGGUGGCCCUUAGUGCGGCCGGAGUCCUGAGGGAGGGCGGGAGGGUACCCGGACUGAGAACUGAGCAUGAACUGAUGACAGGCGUGUACGGUGCCAUUAUACAGACACCUUAGCAUGCGCAUGCUCUCAGCUGACAGCCUCGGGAGCUAGCAACCAAGUCGCGCGGAUGGCCGCACCCCCGCCUCACCUGCGCCACGCGUGAUGGCUCUGUAGCCUUUUGAAAUGCUUUUGUUGAGCCUGAACCUGAACGAAUUGAAGGUGGGCGAUAAAUAUUGCGCUCGGUCAACGACGUCACCACCCCUGCAACAACCCAGCGUUAUGGCCGCUGCAAGGCGCACCUGUGCGCCACAUAGCGUUACUAGUGGAGACUGGGCCUUAAAAGCAAACAUAGCAGGGCGAGGGCGUCCUCUGCCGAGUGGCAGAGAACUGUUUGCGGGUCUCUACAUACUGACACCUUGACGUGUCUGUAAUCUUUAAUAAUGUGUGAUAUGCAUAGAAGGAUACAGCAUAUAUAAAUUGAACUGGCAAAGAAGGAAGUGCCGCAAAGAGUUUGGAAGCAGUGCCCCAUGCAACACUUAAACUUGGUUGGCCGCAUACUUGAUACUUGCUUGUCUUGCCAUGUGCGGUGUUGAAAGGGGGAUUAAUAUGAACGCACACGGGGCCUUCUCUGCGCAAGCGCCUCAGCUGAUGCCCAACGCCGACAGCCGGGGAACGCCUGUGCUCGGGGCUGGAUACGGGGCACUGCUCUCAGGCACACGCACCGCCGCUCACGCCCAACGCCUUAUCAGGGACAGCCGGGGGAACACAUUAUGCCCAGGGCUGGAUACGGGGUAAAGCUCUCAGGCACACACACCGCCGCUCACGCCCAACGCCUUAUCAGGGACAGCCGGGGGAACGUCUUGUGCCUCGUGCUAGAUACGGGGUAAAGCUCUCAGGCACACGCACCGCCGCUCACGCCCAACGCCGUAUGAAAGAAAGCCGGGGGAACACCUUGUGCCUCGUGCUAGAUACGGGGUAAAGCUCUCAGGCACACGCACCGCCGCUCACGCCCAACGCCUUAUCAGGGACAGCCGGGGGAACACAUUAUGCCCAGGGCUGGAUACGGGGUAAAGCUCUCAGGCACACGCACCACCGCUCACGCCCAACGCCUUAUCAGGGACAGCCGGGGGAACGCCUUGUGCCCUGGGCUGGAUACGGGGUAAAGCUCUCAGGCACACGCACCACCGCUCACGCCCAACGCCUUACCGGGGGAACACAUUAUGCCCAGGGCUGGAUACGGGGUAAAGCUCUCAGGCACACGCACCACCGCUCACGCCCAACGCCUUAUCAGGGACAGCCGGGGGAACACCUUAUGCCCUGGGCUGGAUACGGGGUAAAGCUCUCACCGCCGCUCACGCCCAACGCCGUCUGAAGGAAAGCCGGGGGAACGCCUUGUGCCCUGGGCUGGAUACGGGGUAAAGCUCUCUGGCACACGCACCGCCGCUCACACCCAACGCCUUAUCAGGGACAGCCGGGGGAACACCUUAUGCCCUGGGCUGGAUACGGGGUAAAGCUCUCAGGCACACGCACCGCCGCUCGUGCCUAGCGCCUUUCACGGGACAGCCGGGGAAACGCUUUGUGGUCGGGGCUCGGUGCUGUGCAAUCCUCAAACUCAUAACACAGGACUUGAGGCGCUUAAAAGCACCGUGAUAUGGCGUCUGCGACCAUAGCCCCUGCCGCGGCUGCUGCUGCGGACAAGCAUCGUCGCAGCCACAACUGCACCUAUCCACUGCCUUGAGCUACCUCGCAGUCCCCGGGAAUGUGAGUAGCGGCAGCGGCCAGCCCGCUGCCCCAACGUCAAACGCCCAAGCCCACGCCAGUGCUGUCUCGUCGCCUGAUGCGACGGCGCAGCUGAUGGUGCAGCCGCGGGGGUGACGCCGGCGGGGGGCAGCACGCGUCCAACGUUAGCGCUGGCGACGACGGCAGCCGUGGCCUGUGGGGGGCCACCGCCGCAGCACCGCCGUUGCGCUCUCCCACGACGCCGCUGCCCGCGGCACUAAUCCCAAACACCCAGCCCCACGCCAGUGCUGUCUUGUCGCCUGAUGCGACGGCGCAGCUGAUGGUGCAGCCGCGGGGGUGACGCCGGCGGGGGGCAGCACGCGUCCAACGUUAGCGCUGGCGACAACGGCAGCCAUGGCCUGUGGGGGCCACCGCCGCAGCACCGCCGUUGCGCUCUCCCACGACGACGCCACCCGCGGCACCAAUCCCAAACACCCAGCCCCACGCCAGUGCUGUCUCGUCGCCUGAUGCAACGGCGCAGCUGAUGGUGCAGCCGCGGGGGUGACGCCGGUGGGGGGCAGCACGCGUCCAACGCUAGCAAUGGCGACAACGGCAGCCAUGGCAUGUGGGGGACCACCGCCGCAGCACCGCCACUGCGCUCACUGUCGCCACCGCCGCCCGCUGCCCCAAUCACAAACGCUCAGGCCCACGCCAGUGCUGUCUCGUCGCCUGAUGCGUUGGCGCAGCUAAUGGUGCAGCCGCUGGGGUGACGCCGGCUGGGGGCAGCACGCGUCCAACGCUAGCAAUGGCGACGACGGAAGCCAUGGCCUGUGGGGGGCCACCGCCGCAGCACCGCCGUUGCGCUCACUGGCGCCACCGCCGCCCGCUGCCCCAAUCACAAACGCCCAGGCCCACGCCAGUGCUGUCUCGUCGCCUGAUGCAACGGCGCAGCUGAUGGUGCAGCCGCGGGGGUGACGCCGGCGGGGGGCAACGCGCGUCCAACGCUAGCAAUGGCGACAACGGCAGCCGUGGCCUGUGGGGGGCCACCGCCGCAGCACCGCCGUUGCGCUCACUGGCGCCACCGCCGCCCGCGGCACCAAUCACAAACGCCCAGGCCCACGCCAGUGCUGUCUCGUCGCCUGAUGCAACGGCGCAGCUGAUGGUGCAGCCGCGGGGGUGACGCCGGCGGGGGGCAGCACGCGUCCAACGUUAGCGCUGGCGACAACGGCAGCCAUGGCAUGUGGGGGGCCACCGCCGCAGCACCGCCGUUGCGCUCUCCCACGACGACGCCACCCGCGGCACCAAUCACAUACGCCCAGGCCCACGCCAGUGCUGUCUCGUCGCCUGAUGCGACGGCGCAGCUGAUGGUGCAGCCGCGGGGGCGACGCCGGCUGGGGGCAGCACGCGUCCAACGUUAGCGCUGGCAACAACGGCAGCCAUGGCCUGUGGGGGGCCACCGCCGCAGCACCGCCGUUGCGCUCACUGGCGCCACCGCCGCCCGCGGCACUAAUCCCAAGCACCCAGCCCCACGCCAGUGCUGUCUCGUCGCCUGAUGCGACGGCGCAGCUGAAUGUGCAGCCGCGGGGGUGACGCCGGCGGGGGGCAGCACGCGUCCAACGUUAGCGCUGGCGACAACGGCAGCCAUGGCCUGUGGGGGGCCACCGCCGCAGCACCGCCGUUGCGCUCACUGGCGCCACCGCCGCCCGCGGCACCAAUCACAAACGCCCAGCCCCACGCCAGUGCUGUCUCGUCGCCUGAUGCGAUGGCGCAGCUGAUGGUGCAGCCGCGGGGUUGAUGCCGGCGGGGGGCAGCACGCGUCCAACGCUAGCAAUGGCGACAACGGCAGCCAUGGCCUGUGGGGGGCCGCCACCGCAGUGCCACCGUUGCACUCAGUUGCGCCGUCGCCCGCGACCUUCAUCGUGCACGCCCAGUCCCACGCCAGUGCUAUCUCAUAACCAUAACCCCCGCCGCGGCUGCUUAACAAAGGCACUGUCGCAGAAACAACCACGCCUACGCACUCUACGCACACCUUGAGCUGCCUCGCAGUCCCCGGCCUUGCGAGCAGUGCGCGGCAGCGGCAGUGGCCAGCCCUCUACACGCCAGCCACACAACCCGCCUUGUCAGGUGCAGCCUCCAUGCUGGUUGCUUGGUGCGACGCCCAGAUAGUACAGCAUACCAUAUAUACACAUGCGUUCACUCGUUUAGGCCCGACCGUCUAAAGACUAAAAGUCUAGCACUAUGUCCGAGUGAAUACUUCGCAAGGCCUGCUAGCCUACUUACACUGUUCGUUUUGAUAUACACAUUGCAUCAUAUAGCAGGGUCUGACGCUGUUGAAGUGUUGGAGUGCCGCGUCCGGCGAUCACGCGACCCUACGAGCGAGCGAGCCGUGCUUGCUGUCUACGACUAUGUCGUGACUUACAGGAAUACGUGCGUCUCUUAGUGCUUGCGUCAGGUCGGUGCGCAUGCGCCUGCAUGCGGCCCGCAUGCGUGCUUGUACGCACGGCUGUGCGCCCGACCCGGCCCCCCGCCCCUCAUGCUUCAUGCGUUCUGGCACGCAUGCGUCCAGUCCCAGACGCAUGCGUAGCGCACAAUAAGCAUGCGUAACGCACAAACCCGUCCUUAUAGUGCCUCGCCCGCUGCAGCAGCGGCGCCUGCUGCGCCCUCGCGCUCAUCCUUAGAUGCCUGCACCUCUCGUGCGUAUUUGAGCUCGCCAAUGCCAGCACGCUCUUCGGGACGGUGAUUUGCUGGCAGCUUCUUCAGCAGCUGGUUGAUUGCUGCUUGUUUCAUUUUACUUCAUGAUUUCUAUGCUUGACAUUACUUGUGUAAAUGUAUUUACAGUGGCCCAUAUCAGAAAUUAUGAGAUUAGAUCGUGUGUAUGGCACGCGAGGCACGCGCCCGCGCCCGCACGGGGCAGGUGCGGGUGGCACAAAUUUUCGGGAUGGGACCCCCUAAAAAUAGGCGCUAAAUAGUUCGGUUCCAUAUUUCGGGACCCCCAACCGAAAUAUGAAGCACGAAUAAUUUUUAGCAGUACGGUACCGCAGUUGCAGUUGCCGCAGGAGGCGGCUGGUGCCCACCACGUCGCCAACAGCCGACAACUCGAUCUGCCAAGCCUACGCCGGAACAUAGGGUAGCAACUGGCUCCAACGUCAACGUCGUCCAAUCAAUCUCCCACCCAAUCGUCGACUGCCCAAAACGUGCCUUGGCCACAACGGGCUGACGGCUUCACCCAAAGCCGUGAAAGCCGCUCUGACCCGACCCCAUCAAUGUGAGUCCAUCACGGCCUCAACCAACAGCGGUUACAUGAACGCCAUCCGAGUCGUUCGAGCAACCCCAACCCUUGCUGCUAGUGCUGGUGCUGGCGCUGCGGGUGCCACCCGCCGCACUUACGACGCCAGGGACCUGCCGCAUACAUCGCCGGCCUAAGCCGCUGCGCACCACACGCACCGCCCCAGCACCGCCUCCGCCUUCGCCGCCGCCAUGUCGCCACAGCUGUGGCUGCAGGCGGCGCGCUGGUAGGUGUCCUCGCUGGCACACCGACGCAGACGCCAACAGCAGGGGGCUCAGCCCAGUAAUACUUCCCCAAGUCUCGACCCCCUCAGCCGUAAAACACAUGCACCUACCGCCUCGGAGGCUCAGCACUGCCAACCCACACGCCGAUGAAUCCAAAGUGCCGGCCCGCGCCGCAUUGACACCAACAUCGUCCGUUGCCCCGAACUCACACCGCUUGCCAGAUAUGCAUUGAGCAUACCGGAAUAUAUAGCCAAAGCGCGCAAACCACGCUCGCGACCACAGCCUCACGCUGCGGCUCCCACCCCGUCUGCACGCACCCUAGGUGCUCAGCCCCUCCUCACUGCGGCACCACCGCCGCCUCGGCCGCCUUGGCGGACGGCUCCGCCGCCGCAUCCGCCGCCGCAUCUGCCACCGCCGCCGCCGCCGCCGCAUCCGCCACCGCCGCUGCCUCGUCACGUGCUGCCAGCAGCUCGUCAAUCUUGCGGAACUGCCAAGGCCACCUGCCGGGGGGGGUGGGGGUGGUAGCCGUUCAUGGGAAACGGAGUGAUAAAUCUCACAAGUAUAAAAUGCCGACGGCCAGUAGGAACAGCACGCGGGGUUAGCGAGGUAGAGAGCGAGGAUGAGGGUGAGGGGCGCCGUGUACGUGUGCUAAAGAGCACAAGGAAAACAUUGCGCAAAGACAGUGUAUGCGAUGCAGCAAACGGCGCCGUGUACGUGUGUUUGUGCGUGUGUUAAAGAGCACAAGGAAAACAUUGCGCAAAGACAGUGGAUGCGAUGCAGCAAAGCGACGGUUUAUUACGGAUGUUACCUGAAGUUACCGCGCAUACCUGCUGCUGCGGUGAGCCGCCGGUCUUACCAACGCGGAAAUCGCGCAACCCCCGCUACUCUAACUAACCUCGAGGGGGGGAUUAAUGUCCACACGCUCUCAAGCACCCCUGCUCUCAAGGGUGCAAACCCAUGCAUGUGCUCACGGUACCGUGAGGCCCAGGCACUCCUACGAUUCCUAGCUCCUCGUCGCUACUCCUGGCCGCUAAGUCCAAGCUCCCGCCGCCCACUCCUCGAUGAACUUCUCACCUACGAGCGAAUAAGAAAAUAACAACAGAGCACAGGGCGGCAGCAGGGGAGGGUCACGAACAAGAGCGAAGGAACAUGUUAGCGCGGCGGCGCGCGACGAGCAAGAGCAAACACGCAGCCCAGUCCCAGCCCAAUUAACUAUACUAGGGGUUGCGCGAUUUGGGAAAGAGAGGGUGGGCGACCACGAGCAAGUGAACAGGCGGGGGACGGCAUGGGCGCAUGCAUGACGGCAAAUGCAAAUGGGGUGCCAGCACCAUGGGCUAGCGGGGGAAACCCCGCGUGUGUGUGUACCGUGUGUGUGUGUGUGUGUGUGUGUGUGUGUGUGUGUGUGUGUGUGUGUGUGUGUGUGUGUGUGUGUGUGUGUGUGUGUGUGUGUGUGUGUGUGUGUGUGUGUGUGUGUGUGUGUGUGUGUGUGUGUGUGUGUGUGUGUGUGUGUGUGUGUGUGUGUGUGUGUGUGUGUGUGUGUGUGUGUGUGUGUGUUAAAGAGCACAAGGAAAACGUUGCACAAAGACAGUGUAUGCGAUUUAAAACAAGGGGUGUCAGCUUUGUACAGCUGGAAAAUGGGCUGAGCCCCCGUACGCUUGGGAGCUAAUAGGGUGUAACGCCCCGUCAGAGCCUCCAGCCGCUACGACGCGCAGGCGCAUCGGCUAGGGACACUCGGGUUGGGGUCGUGCGGGAUUUCCCGCGCCACGCAUGCGUGCCUUGUCACGUUCCCAAACACCCCAAGCCUUUCUCUAGCCUCCUGCCAUACUCAACACCUCCCCGGCGCCCCACGCUCAAAGGGCUAGGCGCGGGGCGGGGGCGACCUCGGGGCUUCUCGGCAUUCUGGCGCGUCGGCAGGCAUGGCUCGGCAAGUCGCUCAAAACUUUCGAUAUACUUCCCCGCUUUGCUUGCCGCCAACAUAGUUUGCCUUAGAGGCUGCAUAUCAGCGGGCACCGGAUGCUUUCCUUGCGACCUCGCGAAAGUCAAUUGUCCAUGGACGCGCGAAGGCACUUCUCGCUCCGCCCGAAUUUUCCCUGCCACCUAUUUACACGCAAUAGACAUUAACAAAUAAUAAUACGUAGCACUCGCGGUUUGCGCCAGUAUGCUAUGUUUUGCCGACGCACGAACGCAGCCACGGACAGGGGUGUUCCUGGGGGGCUUCGCCCCCCCCUGGAACGCUGCGCUGGGGGGGCUCAGCCCAAAAAACGGUUUACGGAUGUUACCUGAAGUUACCUCGCAUACCUACUGCUGCGGUGAGCCGCCGGUCUUACCAACCGGAAAUCGCGCAACCCCCGCUACUCUAACCUCGAGGGGGGAUUAGUGUCCACACGCUCUCAAGGGUGCAAACCCAUGCAUGUGCUCACGGUACCGUGAGGCCCAGGCACUCCUACGAUUCCUAGCUCCGCGUCGCUACUCCUGGCCGCUAAGUCCAAGCUCCCAGCUCAGUGUGUGUGUGUGUGUGUGUGUGUGUGUGUGUGUGUGUGUGUGUGUGUGUGUGUGUGUGUGUGUGUGUGUGUGUGUGUGUGUGUGUGUGUGUGUGUGUGUGUGACUACGGUUUCCACGGUUAAUCUGCCAGAUCACGUGAAUCGUGUAUCUGGUAUAACCAACGACAGGGCUCUCAAUCGAGGGCUGCCGUGACCUGGCGUUUCCCCGGCAGAGCGCAAACAGCUCUGGAGUCCACACGGUAACGCACUCCGACCCUUCACCGCGCCAGUAACCCUUGCGGAAUUUCUACCGGUGUAACAACCUCAGACCCAGCGGGCGAGCUACAUCUUAAGACCAGGCGGGCAGAGAACAAAAAACAGCAAACACAACAAAACACGCAGCACGCAACACGCGACAGCACGCGAUAACACGACCACAGUGGCUGUGGGGCUGAGUCCUGCGACCCCGCAGCCUGCACGACCUCAACCGCAACAUAACCAGCUCUCGACGCCAGGGCAGACUAUGCCUAAGGGCAGCCACAAACGGGUCUGGCCACUAGGCCGGUCGAGGUCGUAAUGUCACGCCCCAGCGGGGAACCCAGCAUUUCGUGUCACCGUGCUGCAGCACUCAAAACAACCUCACAAGCAAAAACACCGCAAACCUGGCCCUGUUACCACGGGCGUAAAACCAAAACAAGGGGUGUCAGCUUUGUACAGCUGGAAAAUGGGCUGAGCCCCAUGUAGCGCAAGGGAUGUGACGAUGGGCACCGGCGACAUGAACAGCACCGAACGUGUAUGGGGGGGUUGGUUCGAGUUCGGCGAUUCUGAAGUUACUGAGUUUACAGAGGCGGGGUGGGACUGGGUGGGCAUGAUUGCGCAGGUGGCUAACGUUGCGCAAGGGUGACGCAGGUCCGAACGGCACGGACUGUUGGUUCCGGAUUCCAUGGAUGUAACGAACGUCUACUGAGUUUUACGGCUACCUGCGGGGCAUUGGAAACGGGGGGCGUCGGUUGGACUGGUGGGGAACGGUGGGAAUCGGUGGGAAUCGGUGGGAGUCAGUGGGGAUCGUUGGGAACGGGGGAGCCGAACGGGCGGGACCGGCCCUUGCAGGUGCCGACCGAGUUUACUGAUUUCACUUUUUGCAUGGGCGUAGGAUCGCGCCGCCCUGUCGAACUCUUGUGCGUGCCAUGUGGCUUGCCAGCAAGUAUUGUUGAGUAGCAGAUGCGUCAUGGACAUAUUUAGAAAGAGGAGGCACGCGGCCCAAGCGGCCGCGCCUUCCGCCAUGGCCGGGAAUGCGCUGAGGGUAGUGUCGCCGAUCGACUUUCGGAAGGACUUGGGUGAAGAGUUGCAUGACGGCAUUAAGGCAACGGCGCUGCGGCCAGCGGGGAGCUCCAGCGUGUCGGCCAUGGCGGACGAGGGCCAGCGGCUUCGCGGCGGCAGGCGUUCGCAGCUUCGCCUAUAUCAAUUCAAGCCAGGAGUCGAUCAGGCCACUCAGGUGCGCAGCACACGCAGUGACGCAGGGUUGCAUGAUUGUUCUCGAAAAGGCGUGGGGCCACUGUGGGCAUACGCACGCAAUGCUGCGCUCAGUGCAUAGCCAACAGCACCAAGAACUAUCCAAUCCGAUCAAGCCCGGGGCAUUUUGAGCGUAUCGGAUUGUGGAACUAGAGCUUCUAGAAUGUGAUUGCGUUCCUGUGUUUUCGAGUGCAGGAGCAUAUCCGUCGCUGUUGGGGCAAUGAGCCGAGAAUACAGCGGCGCCGCCGGCGUGGCUCUGGCGUCAGGCGUGGCUUUGUUCAGUGCAAAUGCGACGGGCAACAGCUGUGCGCUGGACGCGGACGUGAAGGCGCAACUGGCGCGAAUGGAGCUGUCCCAGCGAGCCCGUGAGACGGGUUGGUUAAUCGGGGGCAGGGCGGCGUCAGGGGAGGGGGGCUGGAUCGGGGGCUGGUUUGUCCGGGGUGGGGGGUCGGGUUUUGGGGGUGGUAGGGAGCUUGUGGUUGGGGUGUCGUGGAUCGGUGGCUUGAGCGAGAGGGCCAGAGGGGCCUGGGUUGGGGGUGGGUCCGGAGGUUGGGUUGGGGCCUUGGUGGCGAAGGGGUGGGCAUGAUGUCAGGGGUAAUGGCAUGAUCACCCAAGUCAAAGCUGAGGCUUUGGACCAUGUCGCAAGUAAGAAGCGCCUGUUGCUGGCAUUGACAAUCUGCAUGCAGGGGCUCAGCAGCACUACCAAGCAGACCUUACGGAGUGCAUGGAGGUUCUGCCGGCGCUGCACGGCUGUGGCGAUGCGUUGCUGGCGGCCCUGGAAGUGGUUCGCUCGGUUGUGCUGUCGGACUGCCGACUCAUCACGGACAGUGUGGAGUCCGAAGCCCAGCUGCUGGCGCAACUCGGCAUUACAAUGGCCGACCUGAACGCAAUUGCAGCCGCAGCAGCGGCGCCACGGCCAGCUGAGCUGUCCAUUGAGGAGGCUGCGCAGCGAACACCGGAACAGGUCAAGGCGGAUGAGGCGGCGAAGCAGGCUCGGGAAUUCCCGGACCAGGUCAUGGCGGUCACGGCAGCGUCACGCCAGGUACCCGUGCUGGUGACUCAAACCAGUGUGGAUGAACACGGCGCAGUCUGUGCGCAUGCAUCCCUGUACACCGGUGGCUCUGUCUUGCCGACCUGCAAUCCUGAGGGCAGCUGCGGCCGAGGCGAUAGUGGGUGUCGUCCAGGCGCUACGCCCAUAGCAGCGGACGGCGGGUGUGCUGCAGCUCCGGCGGUUGGUGGGGGCGGCGGCGGCGCGCCGGUGCAGCAGCAGCAGCAGCAACACGUGGUGGACGCAUCGGAGGUCAGCUACGUGACCAUCUGGCGUGGCCAUGCGUACAGCGGGGUUCCGGUGGGCGGCAGCAUCUCUUUCCUGCUGCCAGCUUUGGAGAUCGUGUCGCAGUCGGCCUGCAAGGAGCUGGGAAUGCCGUUCCAUAUGGGCUUGGUUCCUUCCGAGGCUCGCCGGUAUCUGGAGGAGGUGUCGCUGCCAAUCUACGUAAACGAGGGCCGUGUCGAAGCCCUGGCCCCCGGUCCAGCUCGUGGUGGGUAGGGGGCUUGAUGGCGGGAUGGGCUGAUUACUGCACGCGCGCGGGUGCAUCCAUUGGCUGCAUGUACACUGCACGGAUACAGUGUGGGCUGCACAUCGAAUCCUGAAUGUGCGGCAGGUGGGUGGGUAAAAGGAUGUCUUAGGUUCACUGACGAUAAGUUGUGCUAACGCGCAACGAACGCAGGCUUCCUGGAGGACGUCGGGCUGAAGGUGCCGGUGGAGUCGGUGCUGGCACCUGACGGUCAUCAGCGAAGCGGCGGUGCUCGCGGUAAGUUACGAUGGUGGGCUGCGGCGAUCAGCAGUACUGGGGUUGAAUGAGGUAUGUGUAUGGAUGAGAUAUAGGUAUGGAAGCGCACUGUUCUCUGCUGCAAUUAUGUUCAGCUGUUUAAGCAUCUUAAUUGAAGUUGAGCCGAUCCUUGUACGGGCUGCUGCUAUGUGUCCAGGUACCGCAACGGCACCGGUAGGCCUCGACUCCAACGACCUACCCGGGCCAAGCUUCUAUGACGCGUGGGUGGCGGCGGCACCGCGGCCGCUGCUGCGGACUCAUUCCUGGGCGGUAUGGGCGGUGCUGGAGGCAGCAGAUUCCAGGGCUUUCCCGACGAGGAUCCUGGGAACAUUCCUGCACAUCGGCAGUGCUACAUUACAGCGCGGGUGAGGCCUUUGUCAUCUGAUUCGCAGCGCGUUGCAGUAUGCAUGUGGGUGCGUGAUUUAGUCGGGUUUAAAUUUUGUUCGUUCUUCUGGCGGGUGGGCAUCGUGAUGCGAUUGGCAUACAUGUGUAUGCGCGUGUUCUGUGUGCAUUGCUUGCAAGCGUGCAAGCAACAACAGUGGUACAUGCGGCAGUUCUCUGCGCCGAGUGUUUAAUUAAGUUUAUGGAGUUGUGAUGUACAUGCAGGAUCGCGUCCGGCUGGGACCCUCAAGCUGUGCCGCGGCCCCACCAAACACUGUGGCUGGUGGCAACACUGGAAAGCGGCAUCGCGAGGUGGCUGGUGCCCUUCAGCAGAUCCCGCGCGUGGAGCGUGCUGCCGGCAGUCCAAAGGCGCCCAAGCUGCACCAUGGUGCACGCACGUCGCCACGUGCCGCGGGUGAGUGUCGCCUGCGCACGCAAGAGCGUGGUGGGCAUAGCAGGGCGUGCAGAGACCCGUGCGUGCAGUGUGUUUCGCGGUUCAUGCCUACAUAUAGGUUGAAGUGGAUCCGAUAAGGAUGUGCCGCUUACCGCGUGCGUUUGGCAGUUGACGUCUGGCGUGUGAACUCAAAUAUUUGCCCAUUCUUCAGGAGGUAUGGCAGCUGCGCGGGAAGCAGACCGUGCCGUGGUCGGCAAUGGUGGUGUCGCUGGUGCGUAUGGAGGCUAUGACGAUGACAACGCUGCGCACUACAACGCCGCGCAAAGCGGCGGGAAUGACGUGGCGGCUGCAGCCGGUAAGUUCUUACUGCCAGGCAAGAUUGAAGGCUUUCUAAACAGGUUUUGGGUUGUCUAAAUUGUUGCAGGGCUAAUCAAAGGUGUUUCACUCUGGAUCAGACCCCGUGGCCAACGGUCACUUCAAGACAAAAACUUGCGCCGGAGUGUUGGAGCCGUACACCGUCAUGUGCAGUAUUACUGAGCAAUGUAUUGUUGGUUUUUUGGUGUUUCGGUGCGCUGCACAGGUGGUCACGACCAGGUGCAAAUGGACAGCUGCAGUAUGUCGGAUGUAGACAGUGCCGCUCAUGGCGGCGAGGACAGGGACUACUGCAAGCGGCAGCGUCGGCGGCGGAAGCGCCAGUCCAAGACAUCAUCCAAUGGCAAGCCGGGUGAGUGCGUCAGCGGGCGGGGCGGGUUGUGUAGCGGUGGCGUGGGUAACGAUGAGUCGUUGAGGUCGCGUGUGUGUGAUGGUAAAGCGCUGGCGGAAGUGGCGAAGGAAAACGGUGAGGAGUCCAUUCAAGAUAGUCAAGCGGCGCUGCGUGAGAAAGCGCGUGUUUUUGCGGAACUUGUGGUAAACGCGCCGUUCUCAGCGGCAACGGCUAAGGCCCGCGAGAAUGAGGCUGCGGCGUGGAGGUCAUACAAUGAGGUGUGCGCGCGGGAGUUCUGGCAUGAGAAACCAGAGAGUAAGGGUAGGUGGCCCUUGCCAGUUCGCCAAUGGUGUGAGCUGCUUGUUUUGUUGCGUCGCAAGUAUGGGUCGUACAACGCCUUUUGCAACGCCAUCAAUAUGGUAUGCAAAGUCGGUAGCAAGGCCGCCCACAAUGUGCAUAUAGCUGAAAGUCAGCGUGCUGGCGUUGACGUUGGGAGCAUGCAAGGAGUACGGGACUUUGAUCCGCGGGUCAUUUAUCAGGCGCAGCAUCGCAGCACUAUGGAUUUGGUCAGGAGGGACUCAGGUGUGCAGGUCAAGCAUACGGAAUAUAUCAACAUGGAGGAAGCACGUAACGGGCACAAAUUUACCGACCAUACCUCAUUGCCAGGGCUGCAAGAGAGUGCAUGCUGGAACAUGGAAAACUUGAGCGGCGGGCGGCGGCCCCGCAGCAUUGCCGCUCUGCGUGUUCGCCAUUUGCGGUGGACUGUUACCAGCGUGAAGCAUAGCUCGGGUAACUCAUGGCUCGCUCCGAGCCUGACAUAUGAGCCGCCCUCAACGGCAGGGAGCACGCAGCUUGCCGCCGAUGGGAGCAACUAUGCGGACAUGGUAAGACACGGCGGCAGUCCGGCACAGCAGUGCUGUGAUGUUGGUUGGUGUCAUGUUGAUUGGGGCAUCGAGGGCGGCUGCGGGACCCCAGGCGAGCCGUCACAAAAACCAACAAGGCUGUCCACGCGUGCUGUUCAGGUAACGAUUUCCUUUACGCGUCAGCACCACUGACCACUGGUGCGUGGAGUCAUCGUACGAGACGGUUUUGGCCUUAGCAAAAUCAUCAACGGGCAAAAUCUUGUUGCUACUCCCGCUACGCACAACCAUCGAGGUGGUGGUGGACGUGUCGUCAUUGGGCGGGAUGGGCUUCACGGCCCCAGAAAGCUAAAACCCACUGCAGCCACAAGCAAUGCAUGAAGCCUUCUAUUCAGGGGUGCCAGGCACCAGCGUGUCUGGAGUGUCAGGUUGGUCUCUUUAGCCGUCCCGUUCAUCCAGCGGGACUGGCCACUAUGCCAACGCCGUGCUGAGGCACCGACAUGCCCUGUCCCCGCCCCGCCACGCCACCUUACCCACGCCACUUCACGGUCCAUGAUAUCCCAAAUGCACCUCACCCACAUCCCACUCAAGCACCGCAAACGGCUAGCCGGGCUCGGGCGCGGGCUCCCGGGCCGCGACACAUUUAAGGCUCGGGGACGCAUGGUUUGGCUGUUGCAAACAAUUUCGACAUUCUUGCCCCAAGACGCUUGUCGUCGACAUGUUUUGAUACAUGGAUGUAAGAUAUUUAGGGGCCGAGAGCUAUACUCGCGGACUGAAGAAAGUCAAGAUGUCCAUGGACUCACGAGGUCGCUUCUCGCUCCGGCCGAGUUUUCCCUGCCGCCUAUUUUUCUACAAUAGGGAAUAGCAAUUAAUAAUACGUGGCACUCGCGGUUUGCGCCAGUUUGGCACUUUUUGUCGACACAGGCAGGCACGCACGCACGCACGCACGGACAGGGGCAAUCCUGGGGGGCUUCGCCCCCCCCUGGAUCGCUUCGCUCGGGGGGCUCAGCCCAAAAAACCUUCGCCUGCCCACUAAGCUCCCCCGCUGACCCUCUCGUAUGCCACUGCUUCAGUGGCUCAUGUUAGUGCUCACGCGCUUCUCCUAACGUCAUGUUCGCUUGUGCGUGUUGCGUUCUUUCAAGCAUAUCAAUAAUCUCCUAAGGGCUGAUCCCUUUCAAGCCUCCAGCUGUGUGUGUGUGUGUGUGUGUGUGUGUGUGUGUGUGUGUGUGUGUGUGUGUGUGUGUGUGUGUGUGUGUGUGUGUGUGUGUGUGUGUGUGCGUAUACCGCGUGUGGCGUGUGGUGUGGGGCGUGUGGGCCAGGCACGGACAGGGGCGAUCCUAUGGGGCUUCGCCCCCCUGGAUCUGUCGAAACUGUGGGGGGCUAAGCGCCUCAGGCUGGGGGUGGGGCAAAACCGGGGAUGAACGUUCGACUGCUGAGCGCUGUACAGCUGCCGAAUAUCUGCACGCAUAAUACAAGUUGUGCACUGUACGUUCUUUCAGUAUUUCUCAAUGAAACCGCAAAGCUUGCUUCUGAGCACCGCUGAAAUGGCCGUAUGCGUGCGCGACUUUGCUGACAUUCAGUCGGACAUUGACAAGGUGACAAAAGAGAUAAAUGAUGUCGACGCGCAAGUGAGCAAGGUAGAAGCCAAGGUGGAGAAGGCAGAAGCAGAAGUGGAGAAGGCAAGGGCGAUGCGUCGUGAAAUAGCCAAGGAGCUGAAGCACCCAGAUCUCAGCGAGAAGGAGCGGGCGGCGCUGGUUGCGGAGCAGGAGUCGUGCGUCGCGGACUUGACAGCUGCCGAGAGGAAACUGGAGCGGCUGAGCAGGAAGGAGGAGUACCUGCGCAAGGACAAGGAGCAGCUGCGCACGAAGAAGGCGCAGCUGCGCAACAAGGAGGAGCAGCUGCGCAAGAAGGAGGAGAGGCUGCAACAGGACGGUGAGCAUUGCGGUCUUGCUCGAUGCUUUAUUGAGGUCUGAUGGGCGUUUUUGCCGAGCUCUAGAGCUUAAAUUACGCUGCUGCUCCGCUGUUGCCGUCCCAAUCUACCAAAACCACAUCUCACUGGGACAUGUGCCUUUGCCCCCCUGAACGCGGGGAGCGCUACAGGAGCCGGUGAGUUUGUGUUGCGAAAGCCCUAUGUAAGCAUGGUGCACGUGCAGUUGCUAUAAAUGUGCAGCGUGCACCGUGCAGUGUGCAGUAUGCAGCGUGCACCGUGCAGUGUGCAGUAUGCAGCGUGCACCGUGCAGUGUGCAGUAUGCAGCGUGCGCCGACCAACCGCCCCGCGCGGCCCAGAAGCUUUCUCGCGGUGCGGACACUCCUCGCGUGUCGGAAUGCCAACGCUGCCUCCUUUUGCAGACAAGAAGAAGAAGCUGUCACCAUAUGAGAUCAUGGACAAGGUCUACAAGGACGCCACGUACACGGCGCCCGUCCGUGUACACGGCGACCAUAAGCCGGUGAGCGACCUGGCGGGUCCAACGAUGGAGCGGAGGAGGUGGAGGCGGGGAAUAUGGGGGAGGGUUCGGCGGAGUGUUUUCAUAGGAGGGUGCGUGUGUGGGUGCACAGGAGGGUGGGAUGGGUGGCUGGUCACGAAGGGUACAGGACAGAAGUCUGCCGCCCGCUUCCCCAUACGCGAGGGAACCCGUUCUCCAGGCUCGAAGGCCCCAGGGUUUGGGCAGGGUGGGAAGGGUUGGCAAUGGCUCUGCCGGCGCUGGCUUGGGCGGGCGCGCUCGUGCACGGACAUGCAUUGUGCAUAUGCAUUGGGGUCCUGGCCUAUGGCGACCUGCUGCACUGUGACUGACCUUUGCAUCUACGGGUCUGCUCCUGACAUCCUGCCCUCCUGGCACAUGCCCCAGCAGGUCACGCUGGAGGAAAAGAAGAAAAGCUGACUAGCAGUGGCCGGCAAGGUCGGCAUCGUGGCCUUCCGUCUCUGUGGCCCUGUGCUGGUCCUGCGUGCGGGGCAUCGGCGGCCGGUACACGCCGCCUGUGCUCCUCACCGUCGGGCUUGUCCUGACGGCAAUGUGGGCCAUUGGGCUGUGUGUGUUCACGGCGGCGGUGCUGUCAGAGAUCCAGGUGUGCCACGGCGCCACCGUGUCCUGCGGAUUGGCAAUCCUAGCGGGCAUGUGUGUGCUGAUAUAUCUGGAUUGGCACGAUUUGCCUUUCCGGGAGGCUGCGCGGCGGGUGCUGGACGCUGCCAGCUAUGCUUACACGUUGUUGAAGAACGAAGUGCACUACAUUGCGAAGGACAUCGCAUUAGAUGUUUGUUGCUGAGAGGGAGGAUGGCCAGGAGACAGAUCGUGUGGGAGAGGGGCACUCGCGGCCGUCAAGGUUGUCAGGCCCGAGUGCCGUAAGGUGUGUCGUUUUGUCGUGCUUUUGAACGAGCUCGCUGCUCUCAUGACGGGCCAGCGCCUCGCAUCUACUCCUAUGGCUUAGUGCUUAGUUGUGAGGCUCCCCGCCCGCCUCCAUGACUAGUGCAAGUUGGGGCUAAUGGAGGACACCACUGCUGUAAGCUAUGCUCAAGCAUCUUGGGUUGCGCCUAUUGCAGCAUUCCCUUUGGUACCGGUUUGCUGGUCAGCCGAACCGGGCCUGAUAGCCACAGCGAGGUAGCAGCGAUGUAAGUGCGUGGCAGCCCUGAGCAGGUAUGAGGCACGGAACAGAUGUGAGGCAUUCAGGGAUCAUGUUGAUCACGUCUGCCUGGACAGUGGACACGGCUUCCAUUUGGCUGCACUUGCUCUAGCAUGUUGAGGUGAAUACGGCUGGUCGGCGGCCUGCCCCAGGUAGGGCGGGGGAUGGGUGGGAUGCCAGGCAUAAAUGCGCCCAGGCACUGUUGUGAAAGACCCCGAUGGCGGCUGAGCCGCUGAGGUGUGUGAUGGGACAGGGUUCAAGGCAGAUUGGCGAGGUCCCGUAGGGAGCCGCUGAGGGGCAGACCGGGGCACACCGUGUGUUACAAGGCCUCGCAAAGAGCCAGAGACACCGAGACAGGAGUCAGUGCCAGAGUUCCGUUGAGGACUGUUGCGGCCGACACAUUGAAAUAAGCUUAGAGUUACUGCGGAAGUGGGGCGCCAUCACCAAAUGUGCCGAAGUGGGGCGCCAUCACCAACCUGAUAACCAAGGAAAGACACAUCCGCGGUACCCACCAGCUCACCUAUUAUUGCAUCUGCGCACUACACGCAUAUUGCCUGUUGUAACGUCCUGGAGCGUAUUGGGCGUGAUCGCGCAGUCAACUGCCAGCGAAGUCCAACAGUGCACAUCACGCGUGUCACGGCACGUACCCGCCAAGCCAUCCUCUUCACACGUCAUCUCCAAUACCGCAGUUGCAGUUGCCGCAGACAGGCGGCUGGUGUCCACCACGUCGGCAACAGCCGACAAGUCGAUCUGCCAAGCCUACGCCGGAACAUAGGGUAGCAACUGGCUCCAACGUCAACGUCGUCCAAUCAAUCUCCCACCCAAUCGUCGACUGCCCAAAACGUGUCUUGGCCACAACGGGCUGAGGGCUUCACCCAAAGCCGUGAAAGCCGCUCUGAUCCGACCCCAUCAAUGUGCGUCCAUCAGGACCUCCACCAACAGCGGUUACAUGAACGCCAUGCGAGUCGUUCGAGCAACCCCAACCCUUGCUGCUAGUGCUGGUGCUGGCGGCGCUGCGGGCACCGCCGGUCGCGCCACGGCGCCAGGGACCUGCCGCACACAUCGCCGGCCUAAGCCGCUGCGCACCACACGCACCAUCCCCAGCAACGCCUCCGCCUUCGCCGCCGCCAUGUCGCCACAGCUGUGGCUGCAGGCGGCGCGCUGGUAGGUGUCCUCGCUGGCACGCACACCGACGCAGACGCCGACAGCAGGGGGCUCAGCCCAAAAAGACUUCCCCAAAUCUCGACCCCCUCAGCCGUAAAACACAUGCUCCUACCGCCUCGGAGGCGCAGCACUGCCAACCCACACGCCGAUGAAUCCAAAGUGCCGGCCCGCGCCACAUUGACACCAACAUCGUCCGUUGCCCCGACCCCACACCGCUUGCCAGAUAUGCAUUGAGCAUACCGGAAUAGCCAAAGCGCGCAAACCACGCUCGCGACCACAGCCUCACGCUGCGGCUCCCACCCCGUCUGCACGCACCCUAGGUGCUCAGCCCCUCCUCACUGCGGCACCACCGCCGCCUCGGCCGCCUUGGCGGACGGCUCCGCCGCCGCAUCCGCCGCCGCAUCUGCCACCGCCGCCGCCGCCGCCUCGGCCGCCGCCGCUGCCUCGUCACGUGCUGCCAGCUCGUCAAUCUUGCGGAACUGCCAAGGCCACCUGCCGGGGUGGUGGGGGUGGUAGCCGUUCAUGGGAAACGGAGUGAUAAAUCUCACAAGUACCGUAUGAAAUGCCGACGUCCAGUAGGAACGGCACGCGGGUUUAGCGAGGUAGAGAGCGAGGAUGAGGGUGAGGGGCGCCGUGCACGUGUGUUAAAGAGCACAAGGAAAACAUUGCGCAAAGACACUGUAUGCGAUGCAGCCAAAGGCGCCGUGUACGUGCGUUUGUGCGUGUGUUAAAGAGCACAAGGAAAACAUUGCGCAAAGCCAGUGGAUGCGAUGCAGCAAAGCGACGGUUUACGGAUGUUACCUGAAGUUACCGCGCAUACCUGCUGCGGUGAGCCGCCGGUCUUACCAACCGGAAAUCGCGCAACCCCCGCUACUCUAACUAACCUCGAGGGGGGAUUAGUUUCCACACGCUCUCAAGGGUGCAAACCCAUGCAUGUGCUCACGGUACCGUGAGGCCCAGGCACUCCUACGAUUCCUAGCUCCGCGUCGCUACUCCUGGCCGCUAAGUCCAAGCUCCCGCCCAAUCCUCGAUGAACUUCUCACCUACGAGCGAAUAAGAAAACAACAGAGCACAGGCGGCAGCAGGGGAGUGUCACGAACAAGAGCGAAGAAACAUGUUAGCGCGGCGGCGCGCGACGAGCAAGAGCAAACACGCAGCCCAGUCCCAGCCCAAUUAACUAUACUAGGGGUUGCGCGAUUUGGGAAAGAGACGGAGGGUGGGCGACCACGAGCAAGUGAACAGGCGGGAGACGGCAUGGGCGCAUGCAUGACGGCAAAUGCAAAUGGGGUGCCAGCACCAUGGGCUAGCGGGGGAAACCCCGUGUGUGUGUGUGUGUGUGUGUGUGUGUGUGUGUGUGUGUGUGUGUGUGUGUGUGUGUGUGUGUGUGUGUUAAAAAACGAAACGAAAGCCCGCCCAAUGACGCGACGGAGUUACUUACCGAUACCCACCAUUUUACCGAGCGUCGCGUGACUGUCGUGACCCAGGUAGUCAUACUUACCCGCGAUAAGCCUGGAACCCCACGGGCGACCAUUCGGCCUGACCCCGCGAUGCACCUGUAUGCGUCCAUGCUCCGCACCCUGGGCGCGCUAAACAACGUUUACCCAGCACGCCUAAUUCCCGGAUUCCCGCCCGCUGGUCGUAGUCGAGCUCACCUAUAGGCAAAAGUGGAAGCAUGGGCAUAGGGCGGCAGCGAGGAAGUGUCACGGGCAUGUGAAUGGCAACGGCGACAAGAGAGGCGGCGUGCAGCAGACAAGCUAGGUAUCACGCGUCCCAAAUCCCGCCCACUAAGUACAAUAACACUAUUGGAAGAGGGCGAGUUAGCGGUGGCACUGCGACUAAACGGGGUCGAGGCUGCAUGGGGGACGUGGCGGGCGGCGGUUGCAGCGUUUCCAGACGCGUGUCAGGCUGGUGUGUGUGCGUGUGACGUGUGUGCGCCGUGGGCUGGCGGGAGCUGGCCUCCCGCUCCCCACUCCACGGCGGCACCGAGGCUAGGCACGCUCGCGGCCGCAGUGGCCGCGUCGGCUGUGCGUGACGAGCCCCCCACCCCCCAGAAUCCAGUUACCCCCCUGAUAGUGAACACGCGCCGCGACGUGUCGCGUGUGCAUGGUAGUGCCGCGCCGUACGCCUCGGCGACCGGGCCCACUCCGUGACGAGGUCCGUCGUCCGCCAGAGCCACCAGAGCCAUCAGGUGGUCGCAGCAGGUGGCCGAGCGGUACCGAUGGCAUAUCGCGCAUGCAUCGCGGGCACCGGAUGGGGUCCCAGACCUGUGACGCGGGCUUCAAGAGACAAAUAGCGUGGUGCUGGUACCGAGACCAGCGGGAACAGGGCGCGUGUGUGUGUGUGUGUGUGUGUGUGUGUGUGUGUGUGUGUGUGUGUGUGUGUGUGUGUGUGUGUGUGUGUGUGGCUGUGUGUGUGUGUGUGUGUGUGUGUGUGUUGAAAAGAAAACAACAAAACGAAGCCCGCCCAGACGGCGCGACGGAGUUACUUACGAAUACCUACCGAUACCGAGCGUCUUGUAGCCGCGUCGACCCCGGUAGUCAUACUUACCCGCAAAAAGCCUGGAACCCCCCCUCGGGCGAUCGACGAACGACCUGACCCCGAGUGGCACCCAUAUGCAUUGUAUGCGCCGCGCCCUGGGCGCGCUGCAACGUUGACCCAGCACGCCUAAUGCCCUGAUUCCCGCCCGCUGGUCGUAGUCGAGCUGUGUGUGUGUGUGUGUGUGUGUGUGUGUGUGUGUGUGUGUGUGUGUGUGUGUGUGUGUGUGUGUGUGUGUGUGUGUGUGUGUGUGUGUGUGUGUGUGUGUGUGUGUGUGUGUGUGUGUGUGUGUGUGUGUGGCUGUGUGUGUGUGUGUGGCUGUGUGUGUGGCUGUGUGUGUGUGGCUGUGUGUGGCUGUGUGUGUGUGUGUGUGUGUGUGUGUGUGUGUGUGUGUGUGUGUGUGUGUGUGUGUGUGUGUGUGUGUGUGUGUGUGUGUGUGUGUGUGUGUGUGUGUGUGUGUGUGUGUGUGUGUGGGCCAGGCACGGACAGGGGCGAUCCUAUGGGGCUUCGCCCCCCCGGAUCUGUCGAAACUGUGGGGGGCUAAGCGCCUCAGGCCGGGCGCGGGGCAAGCCCCGGGGCACCAUGUGGGAUGCAGAACGUUCGAGCUAGCCGAGCUAGCAACUGCCGAAUAUCUGCAGUGCAUAAUACAUGUGCAAUGUACGUUCUUUCAGUAUUUCUCACUGAAACCGCAAAGCUUUAAGCUUCUGAGCACCGCUGAAAUGGCCGAAUGCGUGCGCGACUUUGCUGACAUACAGUCGGAGAUUGACAAGGUGACAAACGAGAUAAAUGAUGUCGACGCGCAAGUGAGCAAGGUAGAAGCCAAGGUGGAGAAGGCAGAAGCAGAAGUGGAGAAGGCAGAAGCAGAAGUGGAGAAGGCAAGGGCGAUGCGUCGUGAAAUAGCCAAGGAGCUGAAGCACCCAGAUCUCAGCGAGAAGGAGCGGGCGGCGCUGGCUGCGGAGCAGGAGUCGUGCGUUGCGGACUUGACAGCUGCCGAGAAGAAACUGGAGCACCUGCGCAAGGACCUGGAGCAGCUGCGCACAAAGGAGGAGCUGAUGCGCAGGAAGGAAGAGCAGCUGCGCAAGGAGAAGGAGGAGCUGCGCACGGACCUGCGCAAGAAGGAGGAGAGGCUGCAUCAGGACGGUGAGCUUGAUGCUUCGGGAACCUAGGACUGAUUUUGCGUCCUUGUUGCUUUUGAGGCCUGAUGGGCGUUUUUGCCGAGCUCUAACGCUUAGAUUACGCUGCUGCUCCUUGUUGCCGUCCCAAUCUACCAAAACCACAUCUCACUGGGACAUGUGCCUUUGCCCCCCUGAACGCGGGGAGCGCUACAGGAGCCGGUGAGUUUGUGUUGCGAAAGCCCUAUGUAAGCAUGGUGCACGUGCAGUUGCUAUAAAUGUGCAGCGUGCACCGUGCAGUGUGCAGUAUGCAGCGUGCACCGUGCAGUGUGCAGUAUGCAGCGUGCACCGACCAACCGCCCCGCGCGGCCCAGAAGCUUUCUCGCGGUGCGGACACUCCUCGCGUGUCGGAAUGCCAACGCUGCCUCCUUUUGCAGACAUGAAGA
rnacentral:lncRNA from 1 species